AUGCAUUUUCUCUCCAAAAAAUACCCCAUUAUCCCAAGAAUCACACAUUUCCUCCUCAGAAAUCCCCUUUUAACCCCAAAAUCACGCAUUAUCUCUUGGAAAAUCCCCCAUUUCACUCAAAAAUCUCGCCUUUUCUCUUGGAAAAUCCCGCAUUUUCCCCAAAAUCACGCAUUUUCUCUCCAAAAAUACCCCAUUAUCCAAGAAUCACACAUUUCCUCCUCAGAAAUCCCCUUUAACCCCAAAAUCACGCAUUAUCUCUUGGAAAACACCCCAUUAUCCCGAAAAUCAUGCAUUUUCUCUCCAAAAAAUCCCCAUUACCCCAAAAAUCACACAUUUCCUCCUCAGAAAUCCCCAUUUAACCCCCAAAUGCAUGCAUUUUCUCUUAGAAAAUCCCCAUUUAACUCAAAAAUCUCGCCUUUUCUCUUGCAAAAUCACGCCAUUUACCCACAAAAUCACGCAUUUUCUCUCCCAAAAAUUACCCCAUUAUCCCAAGAAUCACCACAUUCCUCCUCAGAAAUCCCCUUUUAACCCCAAAAUCAUGCGUUUUCUCUUGGAAAAUCCCCCAUUUCACUCAAAAAUCUUGCCUUUUCUCUUGGAAAAUUCCCGCAUUUACCCCAAAAUCAUGCAGUUCUCUUAGAAA
rnacentral:lncRNA from 7 species